rnacentral:rRNA from 1 species
UACAGAGGUCCCCAAGCGUUGUUCGGAUUUACUGGGCGUAAAGGGUGCGUAGGUGGUUGGGUAAGUUUGAUGUGAAAUCUCCGAGCUUAACUCGGAAAUGGCAUUGAAUACUAUUCGGCUAGAGGUUUGGAGGGGGGGACUGGAAUUCUUGGUGUAGCAGUGAAAUGCGUAGAUAUCAAGAGGAACACCAGUGGCGAAGGCGAGUCCCUGGACAACACCUGACACUGAGGCACGAAAGCUAGGGGAGCAAACAGG